GCAUUUUGCGCGCGGACACGCCUGGGCUUCGGCCUGGGUGUGCUCUCGUCCUUGCCUGUUUGUACCUUUUGUUGCUUCCUCGGCGGGAGUCUUCCCGCCGCUAGGAACCCCAAAAACACCUUGCAAUCAGCAGUUUAUUCUGAUAAAUACCUAAAUAUUUACAACUUUCAACAAUGGAUCUCUUGGUUCUGGCAUCGAUGAAGAACGCAGCGAAAUGCGAUAAGUAGUGUGAAUUGCAGAAUUCAGUGAAUCAUCGAAUCUUUGAACGCACAUUGCGCCCCUCGGUAUUCCGUGGGGCAUGCCUGUUCGAGCGUCAUUUACACCCUCAAGCUCUGCUUGGUGUUGGGCGUCUGUCCCGCGCGGUUUGCCCGCCCGGACUCGCCUUAAAGGUAUUGGCAGCGGUCUUGCCGGCCCUCCUAAUUGCGCAGCACUGUUCGCGCUUCCUGGAGUUCGCGCAAAAUCAGCGUCCAUCAAGCCCCAUUUUCUGAACUUGACCUCGGAUCAGGUAGGGAUACCCGCUGAACUUAAGCAUAUCAAUAAGCGGAGGAA
rnacentral:rRNA from 1 species